rnacentral:rRNA from 1 species
UACAGAGGUGGCAAGCGUUGUCCGGAUUUAUUGGGCGUAAAGAGCGUGUAGGCGGCCAGGUAGGUCUGCUGUGAAAACUCGAGGCUUAACCUCGAGCUGUCGGCGGAAACCAUCUGGCUAGAGUCCGGAAGAGGAGAAUGGGAUUCCCGGUGUAGCGGUGAAAUGCGCAGAUAUCGGGAAGAACACCCGUGGCGAAGGCGGUUCUCUGGGACGGUACUGACGCUGAGACGCGAAAGCGUGGGGAGCGAACAGG